GAGAACCAUUGGCUGGUUCGUAACGAGGGGCGGGGAGGGGGCGCGGUUGAUUCUUCCCGCCAACGAAGACCGGCGCCUCCCUCCGCAGGCUCCGCUUCAGGCCGGGAUCGCUGUCCGGGCCGGGAUCAUCGUUCCGGGCCGGGAUCAUCGUCCACGCACAUUUCCCAGCACUCAGAUGGGCAAGGGCAGCUUGCUGCCUGCAUUUCAGCCAGAUGGCAGGACCUGGGGCUGGUCCAGGACAUCAGCUGGGAGCUGGUGAAGGGAUGUGUCAUGCUCCAGCAGCAGUAAGGAGCACAUUCCAGCAGCCAGUUCCUUAACAUGGAUUUCACUUUGCAUAAGGAGAGCUGCAUAACCCAAACAGGCUCAUCUGGCCAUUCAGGUCUGGCUGCCAUGGGCUGCACUGUCACCAGUCUGCAACUGCAGGAGCAGCCAGCACCCUGUCCUUUCCUGCUGGAAUGUAUUGAUGCAAUCUAAAUGCAUCAUGGAAACAAUGGAAGACACCCAGAAUGGAACACUCUCUUCACUAGACUGGUUAAAUCAGAAACCACUGCAGCUCUACCUGUAGCCCUCUUCCUGCCCCAUGUGCAAGGAGCAGAGGAUCACCCUGGAGCAGGAUGGGGUAUUCAGCCCAGCAAGCCCUGCCCAGAAAAGGAGGCAAAGCCUGGUGUGGGUGGUGAGGGCAGGGCCCUGGGGAGGAGAGGGGUGUGCAGUGGAGGUGCUCCCUGCCAGCUGGGAUGGAGCAGAGAGCAGCACAGCCCAGAGCACACUGCUGGGCUUUGGCUGCAGAGCAGCAUGUUCAUCUCUCACACGGACCUGCACAUUUCCCUGGUUUCAGCCAGAGGGUGAAUUUUUUUCACAGCAGCCAUGAGGGGCAGAGCCUGGAGCCGUGUGGGUGGUCCAGGCUGUUCCAUACCAUGCACUUCACUGCCAGGGUGGGGAGGUGGAACUGAGGGACCCUCCCUUCCUGGAGAAUGACAUUCCCUUUCACUGGUGUGGUGAGGAAGAGCUGUUGGAUAGUGUGGUUUUCCAUGUAAAUAAAUAAUGCCUUAUACCUUUUGUUAUUAAUAUUGUUGCUAUUACUAGUCGUUUUCUUAUCUCAUUGCUGUUUCCAGUAAAUUGUUCUUAUCUCAACUGAUUUGCAUCUUUUGUGCCUCCAGAUCUCAAUCCUAUCCCCAGAGCAGGAAGGUGGAGGGGAAGGGGAGCAGUGAGAGGCAUCUGGUUUGGGGGAGUCUUGGUGGAGACACUGAAUUGGGGAAUAUAAUUUCUAAACCACAACAACCUUCUAUCCCAUCACACAGACCUGCACAUUUUAUCUCAAGUGCUGCAUUGCAAUGAAAGGAGCACUGAAUUAAUUCCUGUCCUAAAUAGUCCUGAUCCAGAUGGGCUGGGAAUCCUUAAAUACAGGAGGUACAAGUGCAGAAGGCAUAGCCAGAGUGGUUUGUACAAGGGAAGGCCUCCAGAACCCUGAACAUGUGCAGCAGGCAUAUCUCUAAUUAAAUGAUUAAACCCUGUUUAUAGCUGAUCCUGCCCCUGCAGGGAGUGCCCAAUUAAGUGGCAGGAUGUGCCUGAGUUGCCAGAGUGGAACCCUGAAGGGCUGGGCUCUGUUUUUGUUUUGUGAGGCUCCUUCCAUGACAGUCAGAGCACUUGCAGCAGUGUCUGCACACAGAUGAACAUUUCAUAAGCAACUUUAACAUCAGCAUUCUCUCCCUUGAUCACUUGACUUUGCAACCUCACCAUGCUAUUAGCCUGGCUUCUUGGAGGUAAUCCUUAAAUAAGAGCCUGGUUUAAUGACCUUAAAUACAUUCUCUGCUUUUAAAUCUUGGAUUAUUUAUUCAUCCAACUGUUUUAAUCCUGCUCCUGCAGCAUGGACUUCACCUGCCCUAUUUUUUUUGUUCUCUGCAAGCCCACAUUGCAGGGGCUGCUCCCACCCCUGCUCACUUUAAAUAUUGCUUCAGCCCAGACUCUUUCAGUGGUCCUUUCCUGCCUUUCCCUGCUGUUCUGUGGUACCAAACCUCCAUUUGUCAAAGCUGAAACAGCUUCUCUAGCAAGUACAGUUGUUUUUAAUUUAGA